CUAUCUAGCAGAGUAAGUAGUAAUGAUGACCUGCUAUUCAACAAGAUAGCUGUACAACAGCUGGAUGGGAAAAAAGAGCUGGAACUAUUUCUGCCUGUGCCACAUAUUAAAAACUCAGAGUCACUGGAAAUGAGGAUCACUGACUCUGUAAAACCCCAGAGAACUACAGGAGUCUGGGAACUGUGGAUUUACUCAGUCAAUGAUAUAGCAGAGCAGUGUUGGACCAAGCCUGAAAGAUGAAUGUAAAAGAUAAAGAAGCUUUGUAAGAUAUAUAACAAGAGAAGUUUUAAAUGGGACUAUUAACAUGCAUUGAGAAUAUAUCUAAGGAAACAGGUAAAGUGGUGUAUAGAUGUUUGCAUGUUUGAGAUUUUCCUUUGAAAUCUAACAAUAACCUUUACAAAAUAAUAUAACAAUCGAGAUCCUGUGAAAUCUACCUAUCUGUCUAUCUACAGAAUUAUACACACACAGUUUUUUUCUAACCUUGAUUCAUUACUCUCUGUGAUCUCAUACGCAAACUCUCUGCCUUUCCCAAGCAAUGCAAUGGCAAACCUGUAAUAUAAUUUAGAGUUAAUGUUCUCCCUUGGCUUACUUUAAAAACUGAUAUUACUAUUUUUUAUUAUUAUUUUAGUUAGCUCUUACAGGGAAGUUGUAGAUUAGAUAAAAAGAACAUUAUUUUCAGCUCCUUUUCCACCUUAUGCUCACAAAUAAUUGCUAACAGAAGCUGUAGCACCUGAACAUCUACUGCCUUUAUUGAUAAAUAAAGCUACAACCUUUGUUUCA
rnacentral:lncRNA from 1 species